UUGACCCCUUUGCUCAUUACGCCUCUAUCUCUGUCACUAGGUUCCAGGAGUGAUUACUGAACUCUUAGAACAGUAGAGGAAACUGGGGCUCUGGAAUUGAACUGGAUCACAUGUUCACCAUUUUUGAGCUAAAACAAAGUAAAAGAAACAAUACAAAUUGUAACAGGAUUAGACUACAAACCUCCCUCUUCUAGUUUGUGCUAGAAGGAAAGACAGCACACUGGGGUAGACACGAACCUGAGAGAAUUCAAGUAGAGGCUUGCAUGGAUGCUGGGUUAAGUGUUGAUGGAAGAGAGUAUACACCAGGCUGAUCAUUCAGGGUUGGGCUGUGGUUGUUAUAGUAGAGCAUGAGUUUCACCUGCAUGAGGUAUCUAGAACUUGUCUCCUUCUGUCUGCAGUUGACUUCACUGAGGAAGAGAAGCUGCUAAAUAAGAGGAUGAUGAAGUACUGGGCCAACUUUGCAAGACAUGGGAACCCCAACAGUGAGGGUCUACCCUACUGGCCUGAGUUGGUCCAUGAUGACCAGUACUUGAAGCUGGAUAUUCCGCCUGCUGUGGGCCGAACCCUGAAGGCUAGAAAGCUGCAUUUUUGGAUGAAGAUUCUUCCACAGAAGAUCCAGGAGCUAAAGGGGGCUCAGGACAAGCAUUCAGAGCUUUAGUGACCUCUGACAGUACAGAUGCACAGGGUGAGUGCAGAUGGAGUAAUCCUGAGGUUACAAAAUUCAUUUAAUUAUUUUUAUGCACUCCAAACACUCACAUUAUCCUUCCUAACCCUCAGCACUUGCCCUUUCAGUCAUGUAUUACAAACCUUCUAUGUGGUACUAAUCCUUCUGGAUCCAUUUUAUUAGAUUUUUUAAAUGGUCCUACAACCAUAUGGAUGUGUGUUCCCCUCAUCUUCUUUAACACUUCACUAUUUUAGACUCUUUUCUUUCUUUCUCUUUCUUCUUUCCUUCCUUCCUUCUUUCCAUCAUCUUUUCCCCAUCCUCUAUCUCCUCUUUUCCAAGCAUCAGACCCUCUUCCAAUGAAUUAGAAGCUUCAGGCACUGUUGACUACAGGAAAUCCCAUGUCCUCUCUCAGCAAGUUUGGGUCUUCUCAUAUUUCUAAGUUGCCAAUAGAAAACCUGAUUUCCCCAAGCCCUACUGCCUACAUAAUUUCACAAUGUUGUUCCCAGUAGAUAAAAAACUACAAAUUGGACUCUUAAUGUCUGUGGCCUCAGAAUUUUGGAGGCUGAGACAGAUGGAUUACAUAAGCUCAGGGCAAGAUAACAAGACCCAUAUCUCAGAAACUAAACAAAAACCAUAAACCUCACUAAAUAUUACAAGCAGUAACACAUGUACAGAUUUUUUUAUAUUGAGAAAUCCUUGCUCAAGACACCCACAGAUUUGCUGUGUGGUGAGAAACAUGUCACUAGAUGACUCAAGGAUUACAUUUUGUGCUCUUUUCUGGUACAAAGUACAAACAAUGGCAUUCCAAGGACAACAUUAGGUCACUGUUAGUGAGACUGACCAUGCAGUUUAUUUCCAUUCUCUAUGUAGAGCAUAUAUUGACAUUUCUACUGUUAGUUUGUUUCUACUUUACAGUCCUCUAUAUACACACUAAACUUCCCACAAGGAGUUAUAAUAUGUUUUAGACUUUAAUAAUUGUCUCAUUUUAGUAGUUUGAGUGUGGAUUGUUUUUAUAAGUCUAGGGACUGAAUUUAGGGCUUGUCCAUGUUAGGCAAGUACUCUACCAGUGAACUAUACCACCACUCUCCUGUGGAUUGUUUAAAUACAAUUCAUCUCUUUUAGGUAUAUGGGUUAGUAAGUCUGAGAAAAUUCUCAAGGCAUGUAGCUGCCAACACAUUAUAUUUAGAACAAUGUCCCCACCCCACCCAAGGCUUUCCUCAGUUCUUUUGGUACUAUUCACUACCCUUAGCCUGGUUUCAAAGUAGCUAUGAGAUUACUUUAUCUUGCUGUAUUGGGGGCUUGUUUUGAAUCUAGUAUAAAUAGAAUGUUUUGUGAAUGUAUGUUACUUGGAAUGUUUUUGUUUCCCUUAAUUGUGGAAUGUCAUCCAAGUGUGCAUGCAGCAGUUUCUAUCUACAUACCUAAUCUAUACACAGCUGUUUUACUUGCUUAUUUUCUCUUCUUUUGGGGGGACAAAGUCUCUAUGUAUCCCAGGUGGGCCCUGAACUCAUGAUCUCACUGCCUUGGCUUCCUGAGUGGUUGAAUUAUAGGUGUGGGCCUCCAAUUCUAGGUUUUGGUUUAAAUAAAGUAUGGAUAUGCUUA